rnacentral:lncRNA from 1 species
CUUCCUCCUCUUUCUCCGUCUCACUCUCUUUAUCACUGUCUUCUUCCAACCUCUUUCUCUCUCUCUCUCUCUUUCUAUCACACACAUUCACUCUCACUCACAUACACGGUCUCCUAUCUUUCUCUUUCUAUCUCUUUCUAUCUCUUUCUCUCUCACUCUCUCUUUGAUUCUGUCUCACACUCUUGCUCCCUCAUUCGCUCGUUCGUUCUUAACGUCAAACCACUUAGGGCCGCGAACCUCGGCAGUCAGUCGAUCUUUCUAACGGCAGCAUUUCGGCAUUUUCCAGCUGAUCGGGCGCGAGCGGUUCGCGGUUGUUAGUUCGACAAUCGCCAUUUUGUACGUCAGCACGCAUCGUGUGUGCUGUUGGUUGGUACGUCGUAAUCGUAGUCGGUGUUUUCGUCGCCGUCGGUUGCGUUGUCGUCGACGUCGUCGUCGUCGUCGUCGUCGUCGUCGUUGUCCUCUCGUCGCGUCGUCCUCGUUGUUUUCAUCGUCGGUCGUCGAUCGUAACGUCACGCCGGCGUUUCUCUCAUUGUACAUAUUACACAUAUAUAUAUAUGUAUGUAUAUAUAUAUAUAUAUAGUACACACAUCUAUCUACAUGUACAUGUGUUAAUUCAAAGUGUGUGUCGUUCCGCGACGCGCCGUUCCUCUCGUUCAUCUUUCUAUCUCUCUCUUUCUACCCGUUCGCGUUUUUUAAAGGAACACACAGGGUCCUCGUGGUGCGUGUGUAUGUGUUGCGUUGCGUGCGUGCGUGUGUGUGCGCGCGUUCUUUUCAACUAUUUUUCUCAUCCCCCUUCACACUUUACGAGCGCGUGCUCGUGUCACGAGGGGAUGUUUCGGAUUGGAUGAAACACCAAGAUAGGAAGGAGCGUGGGAUUGCAAAGUUACUCCAGUUUAAUAGCUACCUUCUUCUCGAUGUUAAGAAUUCUGCACUUAUAUACAAGAUAAUAAACGAGGAGCUGUUAGUAGGAUACAUUUAUGACAGAACGAAGUGUUACACUAGACACGUCAAAGGAAGUCAAGAGGUAAUCUUGACUAUUGCAAUUGGUGGUGGGGAGGAUCUUUGUUAUCGAUUAAAAGGAUAGAACGAUACCCACGACGAGGAGUUUGGGGUGGUGGCGGCGGAGGAAGGUGGAGGAGGGUGUACGGUGAAACUCAGCAACGGUGACGAGCCUAACGGCGGGAGUAACCGACGAAGAA